CAGAGGUCCCAAGCGUGUUCGGAGUUCACUGGGCGUAAAGGGUGGCGUAGGUGGCGAGGUAAGUCGGAUGUGAAAUCUCCAAGCUUAACUUGGAAAUGGCAUUGGAAACUACCUGGCUUGAGGUUUGGAGGGGGGGACUGGAAUACUUGGUGUAGCAGUGAAAUGCGUAGAUAUCAAGUGGAACACCAGUGGCGAAGGCGAGUCCCUGGACAACACCUGACACUGAGGCACGAAAGCUAGGGGAGCAAACAGGAUUAGAUACCCUGGUAGUCCUAGCUGUAAACGGUGCUUGCUUGCUGUAAAAGGAAUCGACCCCUUUUGUGGCGAAGCCAACGCGAUAAGCAAGCCGCCUGGGAAGUACGGUCGCAAGAUUA
rnacentral:rRNA from 1 species